rnacentral:tRNA from 1 species
AGAAGCUUAGGAUAAACACAAACCAAGGGCCUUCAAAGCCCUAAAUAGGGACUACCACCCCUAGCUUCUG